UCCGUAGGUGACCUGCGGAAGGAUCAUUACCGAGUGAGGGCCCUCUGGGUCCAACCUCCCACCCGUGUCUAUCGUACCUUGUUGCUUCGGCGGGCCCGCCGUUUCGACGGCCGCCGGGGAGGCCUUGCGCCCCCGGGCCCGCGCCCGCCGAAGACCCCAACAUGAACGCUGUUCUGAAAGUAUGCAGUCUGAGUUGAUUAUCGUAAUCAGUUAAAACUUUCAACAACGGAUCUCUUGGUUCCGGCAUCGAUGAAGAACGCAGCGAAAUGCGAUAAGUAAUGUGAAUUGCAGAAUUCAGUGAAUCAUCGAGUCUUUGAACGCACAUUGCGCCCCCUGGUAUUCCGGGGGGCAUGCCUGUCCGAGCGUCAUUGCUGCCCUCAAGCACGGCUUGUGUGUUGGGCCCCCGUCCCCCUCUCCCGGGGGACGGGCCCGAAAGGCAGCGGCGGCACCGCGUCCGGUCCUCGAGCGUAUGGGGCUUUGUCACCUGCUCUGUAGGCCCGGCCGGCGCCAGCCGACACCCAACUUUAUUUUUCUAAGGUUGACCUCGGAUCAGGUAGGGAUACCCGCUGAACUUAAGCAUAUCAAUAAGCGGAGGA
rnacentral:rRNA from 1 species